UUGAGAGAGAGAGAGAAAGAGAGAGAGAGAGAGGGGAAGAGAGGAUGAGAAAGAGAGAUUGCAUCUAUACUUUGUACAUAUUUCAUUUAAUAAUUUAAUCUUUUAUAUUAACUUAUCUUUCUUUCUCUUAUUAUCUCCUUCUCUCUUUGUCUUUUCCUCCAUUUCAAUAUCAUU